AAUAAUAAUAAAAACAUGAGCAAAAAGCAUCAUUUAAUAAAUAUUAAUAUUAAAAUAUACUAUAUAUAUGUUACUAUCAUUUAAAUUUAAUUAUAUACCAUAUCAAAUAGAAAAAAAUAUUUUUUUGGAUUAAUAAAAUUUAUUUAUAUGUUCGCACCAACUUAAUUAUAUAGGUAAUAGUUACUGACUUUUUAAUUAUUCAAUAUAUAUUUAUU
rnacentral:lncRNA from 1 species